GGCAGUGUCUAUCAACACCCUUUAGCUGUGACUAAAAUUGUACAUCUAAUAGUUCAUAUUUCUUAAUAUUUAAUCAGAGGAAAUAUUGUUUGUAAGAGCUCCCGCUUUCCUCACAAAGUGACUGAUGUUUCGAUGAGAGAUUCACUCGCCGAGUUCAUGUAAAUCGACACUGACCGAUUGAUUGAGAAUCUGUUCAUCAUGGCGGAAGAAACUGUGUUGAAGAUUCUGUGUGGCUGUAAUGGAGCGAUGGAUUAUGAGCGACUGCUGGAUAUCUCAUACGGACUAACAGAAAUAUUCCGGGACAAUUCACUGGAUAAAGUCAUCGAAAACAGCGAGUUAUUCACUGUCAUACAACACGACGACAGAAAAGAGGUUUUCGCUCAAACUCGCGUUAAGAUGUGUAAAAUUAGUGGGUGUAAUGAGGUGUGUAACGACAUACACCUGUGUAAAUAUCAGCUCAUGAACGGAGACUGUAACAGGCGAGGCUGCAGUUUCGGGCAUCAGCUGAUGUCACAGCACAACAUCAGAGUCUUGAGUGUGAGUCACAUGAUCCGUCUGAGCCGAGAAGAGCUGUGUGUGAUAUUGCUGCAGUGUGACAGCAGUUUACUGCCACCUGUGUGUGUAUCAUACAAUAAAGGCCGCGGGCCGUUCGGAAGCUGUCCUGAGAAAGAGACCUGCACGCGACUGCACAUGUGCAUGAGCUUCAUCAGAGGAUGCUGCGAUGACACGGACUGCAUCAGGUCACAUGAUUUCCAUGAGCCUCAUCCAAUCGGAGUCCUGAGACGCAGAGGAGUGUCCAGUCACCUGAUGAGUUUGAUUCCGUUUAUCUACCGCAACAUUGUCAACCUGAAGAGUCACAGAAACCCCAAAAACACUCAACCUGCCCUCAACAACAGAGAGAACACACAGUGUGAGUCACCACAGACACAUGCAGAAGAAAACAAGAUCUGCCUUUCCUUUCUCAAAGGUUACUGCAAAAGAGCACAUGAAUGCCCCAGAAUUCACUGUAAAAUGCCCUAUAAGUGGCAGGUGAAGGUGUGUGGCGCCUGGACUGACUUACCCAAUAAUGAACACAUCGAGAGAGAGUACUGUGAUCCAUCAAACACAAACGGAAAGAAAUGCACAGAUUGUCUUCAGUCGGCAGUCACGAUCUGGAGAAGAAAUAUCAGGAGUAUUUACUAAAAAAUGACUCUUCAAAUCAGGAUGCUGUUGUCAAAUUCAGAGCGGGCAGCCGUUACUAUGAGCUCAAUUUCAAAGAUAUGAAACAGAGGAAUGAAGUGAGCGGGACGGAGAGACCUGUCAGACGACGACCCGUGUUUGUGUCUUCAGUCAACGUUAAGAUUCCCAGAAACAG